rnacentral:rRNA from 1 species
UACGGAGGGGGCAAGCGUUAAUCGGAAUUACUGGGCGUAAAGCGCACGCAGGCGGUUUGUUAAGUCAGAUGUGAAAUCCCCGGGCUCAAACUGGGAACUGCAUCUGAUACUGGCAAGCUUGAGUCUCGUAGAGGGGGGUAGAAUUCCAGGUGUAGCGGUGAAAUGCGUAGAGAUCUGGAGGAAUACCGGUGGCGAAGGCGGCCCCCUGGACGAAGACUGACGCUCAGGUGCGAAAGCGUGGGGAGCAAACAGG